rnacentral:ncRNA from 1 species
UCACAAUUAAUAUUAUGCGUGAAAAAUAAGACCAAAAACUAUGGCUAAAUUGACUAACCUUUGUUAACACACCUAUGGGUUAAAAGGAUAGUUUCUACGGGGCGUAAGCCUCCCAAAAGGUAAUGGAGGUGUGUAAAGGUUUUCUCGAGUCAGAUGAAGAUUGCCCUCGAGUGCAAAGUUAGAAAGAAGUUUAAUUGUAAGACCCACCUAUCUAGUAAGGACGAAAGUCAGCUUUAGUGAUUUGAUUGUGCCGAGUGGAAGGGUCGUCGCUCAAUAGAUUAAAGUUACUCUAGAGAUAAUAGGCUACUCUUCCCUAAGAGCUCACAUCAAUGGAAAGGUUUGGCACAUCGAUUUCGGCUCUUCGUCACUUGAGGCUAUAGUAUAUUCCAAGGGUUGGGUUGUUCGCCUAUUAAAGUGAUAUGUGAGCUGGGUUCAGAACAUCCUGAGACAGUUUGUUCCAUUUCUGGUGUGGGCGUUAAAGCAUUGAGAAGACCUUUCCCUAGUACAAGAAGAUUGAGAAGAACGCACCUUUGGUGUACCAGUUAUCAUGUCUACGAUAAACGCUAGGUAGCCAAGUUUGAAAUGUCAUCCAAACAUUGAAGCUAAAUUAGGAAAAUAACGGAAGUGCGCCUCAAGAUAGGAAAGACUAAGUUUCAAGACUUGAACCCCAAAGUCAC